AAGGGUAUAGCUCAGUGGCAGAGCACGUGCUUAGCAUGCACGAGGUCUUGGGUUCAAUCCCCAGUACCUCCA
rnacentral:tRNA from 1 species